ACAAAACAGCUGCAAUUUUUUUUCCAAUUACAGAGUUCAGUUAACAGAACAACAAUUAUCUCUGUAUAAACUGCAUCAGAGACAACUGAAGAUGAAAAAAAAAAAAAACCAAAAGAACAAAAACCAAACUACUGUCCCCAUAUAUAACUAAUUUGUGCUGUACACCAACAAGAACCUGCUUUAAAUUUCCAUGCAAAUUUACAACCCCCAGACUGUACCAGGCAAGAUUAGUGGCUAUUGAAAAUACCACCAGGACAGGGCUAUCUAAAGACACAUUCGGUAGUGUGUUAACUAUACAAAAAGGACACUGUACAGUUUAAAAACAUAUCUUACACAGCCUUACAUUUCAAUUUUUUCUUUAAAAGGAGUGAGUUGUGUACAGGGGUUAGCAGAUAUGGUUAAAUGCUUUAUAGACAAGGGAAAAAAACUGCGCUGGAACCAACUUAUCCAUCGUCAUCAUCAUCAUCUUCUUCAUCUUUGUCUUCCUCCUCUUCAUCAUCCUUUUCAUCCUCUUCAUCAUCUUCCUCUUCCUUCUUUUUCUUGCUCUUUUCAGCCUUGACCACCCCCUUUUUCGCUGCAUCAGGUUUUCCUUUAGCUCUGUAGGCAGCAAUAUCCUUCUCGUACUUCUCCUUCAGCUUGGCAGCCUUCUUCUCAUAGGGCUGCUUGUCAUCUGCUGCAGUGUUGUUCCACAUCUCUCCUAGUUUCUUUGCAACAAUGGAUAAGCCAGGAUACUCGUAUUCAGAACAGAACAAGAAGAAGGCUGAAGGAAGCCUCUUGGGUGCAUUGGGGUCCUUGAACUUCUUUUUGGUCUCCCCUUUCGGGGGAUGUAGGUUUUUUAUUUCUCUUUCAUAACGAGCCUUGUCAGCCUUUGCCAUAUCUUCAAAUUUCCCCCUUUCUUUAGCAGAUAUGGUCUUCCACCUCUCUGAGCACUUCUUGGAGAACUCUGAGAAGUUGACAGAAGCAUCCGGUUGCUUCUUCUUGUGCUCCUCCUGGCAGGUUUGUGCAAAGAAUGCAUAUAAGGACAUCUGCCUCUCGACUUCUUAGGAUCUCCUUUGCCCAUGUUUAGUUGAUUUUCUUCCGAGAGGCACAGAGUCACCUCUAUGGAGCCCAAUAUACUGCAAUGGCUGUGACAGCGGGAGCCAGAUGCCCUAACUUCAUUUUUUUUUUUUUUUUUUUGGUUUUAUUCGAGACAGGGUUUCUCUGUGUAGCCCUGGCUGUCCUGGAACUCACUCUGUAGACCAAGCUGGCCUCGAACUCAGAAAUCCUCCUGCCUCUGCCACCCAAGUGCUGGGAUUAAAGGCGUACGCCACCACUGGCUGGCCCUAUCUUCAUUCUUGAUACCAGAUUCUUAAAUGGCCCCUGCAACUUCACGUGCACAUUAAAAUGUCAGUGCCCCAAACAGAUGUGAUACCUUAAGGCUAUGACCAAUUCUAAGUUUAGCAGAAGAAUACUUUCCUAGCUCUUGGAUGUCAUAGGCCUAUUAAUACAUUUCACUAUCACAAUCACAUGCCUGAUUCUGGCAGCUUGUAUCCAGCUAGCGGUCGCAGGCUAUCAAACCCCUAAAACUAGAAAUAAUGUCGAAUGUAUUAGAUGACAGUAAAAAAAAAAAAGAUUUUAAAAAGAUACUGAGAAUUUAGAAAUUGGUUGAAAAUUAUCAGUUACAACACUACAAGUUUUGCAUCUAUACUGAAGAAAGUACAAGAGGGCUUUCAUUUAAUACUUAAGAAGCAUUUUAGAUUACUCUAAACUUAGAAUUGACCACAACAUGAAAUCACUGCCCAAAAAAAUUAAUGCAUUUUUUGCUGGAAAAAAGAAUUAAUAGCUGGCUCUUCAUGGCCUCUCCCCUCCUCCUUUAGCCAAGGAAAUUUUUUCUUGGCAUGGUUAGUUACUUGGCCUCAUUAAGGGAUUGGUGGGUUGAGUAAGAGGAGAAAGGUUCAAUUGAUCUCUUGGAAAAGUGGUUGAGUUUCCACAAGAAAACCGACUCUGAAGAAUGGAGUCGUUUCUGAGAAAGGCAAAGCCAGUUAGCACCUGCUAAGAGAGUGUGGGUUUGGGGCAUUUACAACAGGGAGAAAGAAAGUUGAUUAGCAGCUGCCUUGUAGCAAGGGAGGCUUUUCAAAUGAGGCUGGGGUUGCGGGGGCGGGGCGGCAGCGAUUCAGUGUCAGUGUCAGGAAUACCACCUCACUUUAUUCAUUCUAAGAGACAUACAGAAAAUUAGGGAGUUUCCCCCAUUAUUUUGGAAUGUCUGAAAUGUGUUUGUGAAUGGAACUUCCAGCAGGGACAGAAGCGUGGGCUAUCUCAACUAUACACAGGUUAUGAAAUCUUGUUUUGUGCCAGCAGAACUAUGGUGUUCGCCACAAUACAAGUGACAAUCAUGUCAGUUGGCCAGAUGACACCUGUAUUAUAUCUUCAGCUCUGGGUAUCACACAUUUAUAAAGUAUACCAGUUUGCGAGGGUUGUCGUAACAAAGCCCCUGGCCUUGGGAGCUCAAACAAGAACUUUUCUCAUCCUUCUACAGGAGAGAAGUCUGUGGUCCAGGUUCCACAGAGUGGAUUUCUUCAGCGGCGGUUCUCCUAGACACUCUCUUUCUUCUGUCUAUAAUGCCACUAGUUGAGCUGGAUUAGAGUUUGCCAUAGCAACUCAUUUUAAUAACCUCUUUUAAAAAAUCCUGUAUCCAAACAUGGUCUCAUUCUGAAGUGCUGGAGUUGAGAAUUUCAACGUGAAUUUGGUGGAGGAGACACAAUUUAGUCCAUGACACAAGCUACCAAAACCCCACUCUGUCCCCUGAUUGUUUAGAUGACCUUGAACUGCAUUUCUUUCUUUUAGGACUCUUAACCCAAAUUCUUACAACUUGUUAGCAGUCAAAAUAUUUCGCCACUUUCAUUAAAUAAUUGCUCAAAGCAGUGCAUUAACCUGGUUGGUAUAUAUUAUUUUUUGUGUUCAAAAGGCUUUAGAAACUAAUAAUAUGUUAGUUACAUAAAAUUCUCUAAGAUGGUCCUUUGGAAAUAAAAGAUUUGGAAGCACAAAAGGAAAUUAUUUCCUUUUCUAUAAAAUGAGACAUUUGGACCAGAAAUUAUCCAAGGCC
rnacentral:lncRNA from 1 species